GAUGAACGCUGGCGGCGUGCCUAAUACAUGCCAGUCGAGCGAACAGACGAGGAUCUUGCUCCUCUUACGUUAGCGGCGGACGGGUGAGUAACACGUGGAUAACCUACCUAUAAGACUGGGAUAACUUCGGGAAACCUGAUCUAAUACCGGAUAAUAUAUUGAACCGCAUGGUUCAAUAGUGAAAGACGGUUUUGCUGUCACUUAUAGAUGGAUCCGCGCCGCAUUAGCUAGUUGGUAAGGUAACGGCUUACCAAGGCAACGAUGCGUAGCCGACCUGAGAGGAUGAUCAGUCACACUGGAACUGAGACACGGUCCAGACUCCUACGGGAGGCAGCAGUAGGGAAUAUUCCGCAAUGGGCGAAAGCCUGAAGGAGCAACGCCGCGUGAGUGAUGAAGGUCUUCGGAUCGUAAAACUCUGUUAUUAGGGAAGAACAAAUGUGUAAGUAACUAUGCACGUCUUGACGGUACCUAAUCAGAAAGCCACGGCUAACUACGUG
rnacentral:rRNA from 1 species